CCUACGGGAGGCAGCAGUGAGGAAUAUUGGUCAAUGGACGGAAGUCUGAACCAGCCAUGCCGCGUGCAGGAAGACGGCUCUAUGAGUUGUAAACUGCUUUUGUACAAGGGUAAAUCUGAAUACGUGUAUUCUGCUGAAAGUACUGUACGAAUAAGGAUCGGCUAAUUCCGUGCCAGCAGCCGCGGUAAUACGGAGGAACCAAGCGUUAUCCGGAUUUAGUGGGCUUAAAGGGUGCGUAGGCGGAUUGAUAAGUUAGAGGUGAAAUGUCCGGGCUUAACUGGGGAACUGCAUCUAAUACUGUUGAUCUAGAGAGUAGAUGCGGUAGGCGGAAUGUAUGGUGUAGCGGUGAAAUGCUUAGAGAUCAAACAGAACACCGAUUGCGAAGGCAGCUUACCAAUCUAUAUCUGACGUUGAGGCACGAAAGCGUGGGGAGCAAACAGGAUUAGAUACCCGAGUAGUC
rnacentral:rRNA from 1 species